rnacentral:rRNA from 1 species
CAGCAGCCGCGGUAAUACGAAGGGUGCAAGCGUUACUCGGAAUUACUGGGCGUAAAGCGUGCGUAGGCGGCUUCUUAAGUCGGAUGUGAAAUCCCUGAGCUUAACUUAGGAAUUGCAUUCGAUACUGGGAAGCUAGAGUAUGGGAGAGGAUGGUAGAAUUCCAGGUGUAGCGGUGAAAUGCGUAGAGAUCUGGAGGAAUACCGAUGGCGAAGGCAGCCAUCUGGCCUAAUACUGACGCUGAGGUACGAAAGCAUGGGGAGCAAACAGGAUUAGAUACCCCUGUAGUCCCUGUCUCUUAUAC